rnacentral:rRNA from 1 species
CCUACGGGUGGCUGCAGUGGGGGAUAUUGCACAAUGGGGGGAACCCUGAUGCAGCGACGCCGCGUGGGUGAAGGAGUGCUUCGGCAUGUAAAGCCCUAUCGGCAGGGAAGAAGCAAGACGGUACCUGACUAAGAAGCCCCGGCUAACUACGUGCCAGCAGCCGCGGUAAUACGUAGGGGGCGAGCGUUAUCCGGAUUCACUGGGUGUAAAGGGAGCGUAGACGGCCAAGCAAGCCAGGGGUGAAAGCCCGGGGCCCAACCCCGGGACUGCCCUUGGAACUGCAUGGCUGGAGUGCGGGAGGGGCAGGCGGAAUUCCUGGUGUAGCGGUGAAAUGCGUAGAUAUCAGGAGGAACACCGGCGGCGAAGGCAGCUUACUAAACUGCCACUGACAUUGAUGCUCGAAAGUGUGGGUAUCAAACAGGAUUAGAUACCCUAGUAGUC